GUAACAACUCACCUGCCGAAUCAACUAGCCCUGAAAAUGGAUGGCGCUCGAGCGUCGGGCCUAUACCGGACCGUCGUCGCAAUACCGAUCGCGUGUGCGAUGCGUCGACGAGUAGGCAGGUCGCCGCGGUGAGCUUAGAAGUCUGGGGCGCGAGCCUGGAUGGAGCCGCCGCGGGUGCAGAUCUUGGUGGUAGUAGCAAAAUAUUCAAUAGAGAACAUUGAAGACUGAAGUGGAGAAAGGUUUCACAUGAACAACACUUGGAUGUGAGUUAGUCGAUCCUAAACGGUGGGUUAACUCCAAAUACAUAGAUACUUGUAUCUUGUACCGUGAAAGGGAAACAGGUUAAUAUUCCUGUACUAUAUCAAGGAGGUAAAGUGGUGACACAACUGAACUCAAAUACAUCAGUAGAAUAACCAGGAAG
rnacentral:rRNA from 1 species